rnacentral:misc_RNA from 1 species
UACAUACGGCGGCGGGCCGCGGCGCUGGCCAGUGCCCAAGUGACGCCCGUCGCGUGCAGUGGCUGGUGCGGAGCGGUCGACGUGGAAUGCCCCCGCGCCGACCCGGUGCUGCCACAUCACUCGGCGAGCCUCAGUGAGACGCAGAGAGGGACACGGUCCGCCGCCGGACACAGCCGAGAUGCGCCUGCCGCUGCUGUUUCUGCUGGCCGUGGCCGCCUGCGUGGCGGUCAGCGAGGCCAAGCCACGCCGCCGACCCAAACCGCCCAUCAAAGGAGACGACUACAGCCGACCGGGCCGCCGCCGACACCGCAAGUCAUCAGUGUGCCACUUCGGAAAGCAGACCUACGAGCUGGAGGCCAUGUGGAACCCCGACCUGGGCUCGCCGUUCGGCGUCAUGUACUGCGUCCAGUGCGAGUGUGUACCGAUCCAGCGCAAACGACGCGUCGUUGGCCGGGUCAAGUGUCGCAACAUCAAGCGUGACUGUCCCAAGCCCAACUGCAAGAACCCGGUGAUGCCGGUCGGGGAGUGCUGCAAAACCUGCAUGGACGACGCGUCGAGGGCCCGAUCACGAAUCGACAUGGUGGAAGAAGACGACGAGCCUAACGGAAAGGAGUUCGCCGUUCUGAUGACGGGCCUGUCCUCCUACAACUCCACUGGUAGUCCGUCCAGCGUCACCAACGCGCUGGCCACAGGCCGCUUCCGUCUCGCGCGCCGCCAGCUCACCUACUCCUUCUACUACGAGCGGAUGCCACGCCGACCCGACCGCAUCGUCUUCUUCGACGAGGAGGUGCGCAUCGUCGAGGAGUUGACAACGUCGGCGACCGAGUACGAGACCGAGAGCCAGAAGGUGUGCGGCGUGUGGAAGAAGGUGCCCCGCCGCUACCGUCGGAAGCUGAAGGGCGGCCAGCUGCACGUGGGACUGACGUACGGAGAGCCGGAGGAGGAGGGCGUCGAACAGCUGGACCUAGCCGUCAGCGGGAAAAUCCUCAGGUACCGCGGACUGCAGACGGAGAAGUUCAGCGCCCUGCUGGCACCUCCGGAGGACCAGCCCGGCGCGCCCUCCGGCGCCGGCGGCACCGCCAUCGUCUCGCUAGCCUCCCAGACGGGCAGCUUCCACAUCACGCUGGUGACACACGGCCUCUGGGGACCGGAAGAGACGGGAGAUGGACCGCUCGUGGUGCAGAUGAGCGCCAGAAACUCGGGCAAAAUGUCCAUGGAUCGACAGAUCGACGCCAACAAGAUCACGGAGGAUGAGACCAUCAUCGAGGCCAAGACUUCCCUGCUGCCGGAAGAAAUGCGUCGACUGGCGCGCGCGCAGCUGCACCUCAAGGUGUUCUCACGCACCCACCCGGACCGCCAGCUAGAGGGUAUUAUCAUGCCCCGCAUCGGCUGUAACGUGUUCUCCGCGCUGCUGUCGGGCGUCAAAUCCAACGACAAAACACCGCCGGCGACCACCGCCUCGGGCCUGGCGACGUUGCGCCUGUGGAACGACGGCCGACUCGACUACGCCAUCCGACUGAUCGACGUGCGCUCGACGGUGCUGCGCAUCAGCAUCGAGACCGACCUGCGGCGACGCGCUGGUGGCGGCGCCCGGCCAGCUUACGAGGUCGACGACGUCCUGCCGCAGUACCUCAACGGCUGGGCGAACGGAACGCUGCGCCGCAUGGUGGCCAGGGACGUGGAGGCACUUCUUGACGAGGAUCUCUACAUCAACGUCGGCACAGAGCAGUACAGGAGCGAGCUGAGAGGCCGCGUCACUCAGCUGACCGUCAGUGAGGCACGUCAGUCGGACGCGCCCAUCAUGCUGACGUCGAGGAACUCUUCUUCGGCGGGCGUCGCCUGGAUGGCUGUGGACGACGACUGCGCACUGCACUACAAAGUUCAGGUGGCUGAUCGAACGCCUGGCAACCGACGCAUCGAGCUGGUCGAGUUUCCCGGCCGGAAACGUCGCCAGCGCGUCUUGGCAGAGUUUGGCGGAUCUCGCGCCGAGAAUCGCAUCAACAACCUGCCCAAGACCACCAUGAUGCGUAUGGAGAAAGGCCAAACCGUUGUCAAGGUGGUGCCGCUCAACGGAGAUGACGAGAUGAGCAGCGAACAUGCCAAGGUGUUCGUGCCAAAGUCGUGUCUGCCGACGCGGCGCAUCCGUCUGGACAACUACCACAUGGACGGUGACGAUGGCGAGGAGAACGAGAUCCAGCGCUCGUACGACUGCGAAUAUGAAAAUCAAAUAUACGAGGAAGGCACUCAGUGGGAGGCCUCUCACGAGAGCUGCAAGAUCUGCAGCUGCACCCACGGCAAGGUGUCCUGCGAGCGGAUCCUGUGUCCGACGCUCACCUGUCGGAACCAGCACACACCCAACGGCUCCUGCUGCCCCGUGUGCGACGGUGACGAGCCGGAGGAGGCCGAGGUGGCCAACGAUCCGACCGAGGGCUGCCUGCUGGCCAACCGGUUCCGAGCCGUCGGCUCCAUUUGGCACCCGUACGUGCCGCCGUUUGGCUUCAACAAGUGCGUCACCUGCACGUGUCAGCUGGGUUCCGCGCCGGGCGACUACCAGGUGUCGUGUUCGAAGCCGCCGUGUCCCGACCUGGACUGUCCGGGCCGCGAGUACAUGCCGUCGGGCGCCUGCUGCCGCGAGUGCCGGCCCGUCGCCAAGAUUGAACCCCGCAUCCUGGCCAGUACUUAUAGAGGCGCAAUGGGCGACGAGGCUCACGAAAUGAGCCAGGAAGAAAUCCUGCAGGCAGGAGGCUGCAGAAAGGGCACCAUGGUCUACCGCAACGGAGACACCUGGCACCCACGCAUCGCCACCAUUGGACUGAUGCCUUGCAUCACCUGCAGAUGUCGGGACGGCAGCAAGAUGUGCGGCCGAACACGCUGUCCAGAGCUCAACUGCCGCAACACCAAGGAGGUUCCGGGCCAGUGCUGCCCGGUCUGCGUCGAUCACAAUAAACCGACCGAGAAAAAGGCCACCAGGCGGCGCCGCAGUCAAGUGUGAACGCCGCAGAGGGCGCCACCAGCGGGCGCCAGUGUCGAGCGCAGACUGGAAAGUACAAAGCCGAAACAUUGCGUGCAAUGUGACGAGGCGCUGGACGCGGCUGCGUCACAAAUGACGUCACGGAAUGCUGCCGUGACGUCACGUGCCGACUGCGGGCCGGCUCCGGCAGCCAGGCGGUCGCGCCGGGUCAGGCGGCCACCGGUGCUGUAUUUAUUCACUGUAAUGUGUUGCCCUGGUGACACUACGCCACACGGCCGGCGCCAGGCGCGCAAACAUGCAUACCUGUACAUAACUAGUGCCAUAGCGGUAAGUGUCAUUAGCGUCUGGCGGAGUGUUGCGCGCGCGGCGGCGCUGCGGGCUGGCGCGGGGCCGCCUCGUCCGCUCGGCCGGCGGACGGGCGGGCCUCGUCCUCGUCUCGCCUCAGCGCAGCGGUGGCAAGAAAUGGAACUGUACGCUUAUUGUUGGGUGCCGUCCUGGCGGUGGCAGGCGCCGGUCAAUUAUUUUUGUAAACACGCGUGUCCGGCGUUUGUUGGAGCUUGUGCGAGAGAGACUAGCGGGCCCCGAGCCAACGUGAGAGUGAGAGGAGCGCCAUGAGUGAGUGAGAAUGGCGCCGCUGGACGCGAGGUAGAGUGACAGAGACGCUGAGCGAGAGUGAGCCGAACCAGGGAACGAACUCUGCUGAACUCGAGCGAGGCUGAAGGGACAAAGGCUCACUUCCCUACCCUCUUGUGAUCAGGAAACCACUUGUGACUGUGAGCGAGCUGACACGAGAAUCGAAGAACUGCAACCGUUACUCGUUUUGUCGCGGACUGAACUGAGAAUUUCGAGAGAAACAAUAGUGUGAGCAGCCGAUUCCGGCCGCCGGUAUCCGAGUUGUUGUGCGUAAGCCGAGGCUUCGCGGCCGAAGCGGGCGUCGUCGAGUCAGAUGUUGUUCUCAGGGUCGUCUGUUAUAAGUCUGACAGUGAGAUGGUCGGCGGUGUUUUGUGCAGCGUGCUGCUGCUAGCGAGCGCGCCGGGCACCGGCCAACUGCGCCAGUGCGGCACCACAUUAACCGAACAGGGCUGCGAGCGUGGCGGCAGCGCGACGGUCCGCUGCCUCCGGGGUGCGUCCGGGCGUCUCUCGUCCCACCGUCCCUUAGAGAGGUGCCGGGCGCCCUGCGGGACGUCUCUCCGGAGUGGUCGGCUCUCCGGGACGUCUCUCCGGAGUGGUCGGCUCUCCGGGCUGGCUCUCCGGCGGUCAGCUGGCCCUAUGGCCGGCACCAUGUGAUACGACCGACAAUAGGAGCGGGGGCAGAGCGCUGCACCGCCGCCGCCACGUAGUCGUGCCAUGUAAAAUACAGCCAGGCAGUCAUA